AGCAGCCGCGGUAAUUCCAGCUCCAAUAGCGUAUAUUAAAGUUGUUGCAGUUAAAAAGCUCGUAGUUGAAUUUCGGGGUCAGUAGAUUGGUCGUGCCACUGGUAUGUACUGGUCUCACUGGCUCCUCCUUCCUGAUGAACCGUAAUGCCAUUAAUUUGGUGUUGCAGGGAGACUGGACUGUUACUUUGAAAAAAUUAGAGUGUUUAAAGCAGGCUAACGCUUGAAUACAUUAGCAUGGAAUAAUGAAAUAGGACGUUCGAUCUUAUUUUGUUGGUUUCUAAGAUUGACGUAAUGAUUAAUAGGGAUAGUUGGGGGCAUUAGUAUUCAAUUGUCAGAGGUGAAAUUCUUGGAUUUAUUGAAGACUAACUACUGCGAAAGCAUUUGCCAAGGAUGUUUUCAUUAAUCAAGAACGAAAGUUAGGGGAUCGAAGACGAUCAGAUACCGUCGUAGUCUUAACCAUAAACUAUGCCGACUAGGGAUCGGAUGAUGUUAAUUUUUUUAAUGA
rnacentral:rRNA from 1 species